UGGUGGAGCGAUUUGUCUGGUCAAUUCCGAUAACGAACGAGACUCUAGCCUACUAAAUAGUUCGGGGACCCCCACAAAGGGGCCCCGCUUCAACUUCUUAGAGGGACAGGUGGCGUUUUGCCACACGAGAUUGAGCAAUAACA
rnacentral:rRNA from 1 species